rnacentral:rRNA from 1 species
GACGAACGCUGGCGGCGUGCUUAACACAUGCAAGUCGAACGGGUCUGCCCUGUUUUUUGCGGGGUGGGUCAGUGGCGAACGGGUGAGUAACACGUGAGUAACCUGCCCCUCACUUCUGGAUAACCGCUUGAAAGGGUGGCUAAUACGGGGUGUUCUGGCUGUGCCGCAUGGUGUGGCUGGGAAAGAUUCACUUUUGUGGUGUUUUGGUGGGGGAUGGGCUCGCGGCCUAUCAGCUUGUUGGUGGGGUGAUGGCCUGCCAAGGCUUUGACGGGUAGCCGGCAUGAGAGGGUGGGCGGUCACAGUGGGACUGAGAUACGGCCCAGACUCCUGCGGGAGGCAGCAGUGGGGGGUAGUGCACAAUGGGCGGAAGCCUGAUGCAGCGACGUCGCGUGAGGGAUGGAGGCCUUCGGGUUGUGAACCUCUUUCGCCGGUGAAGAAGGUCCUGCUCUUUGUGGUGGGGUUGACGGUAGCCGGGUUAUGAAGCGCCGGCUAACUACGUG